rnacentral:rRNA from 1 species
UACGUAGGGUGCGAGCGUUGUCCGGAAUUAUUGGGCGUAAAGAGCUUGUAGGCGGUGUGUCACGUCGGCCGUGAAAACCUGGGGCUUAACUCUGGGCGUGCGGUCGAUACGGGCAUCACUAGAGUUCGGCAGGGGAGACUGGAAUUCCUGGUGUAGCGGUGAAAUGCGCAGAUAUCAGGAGGAACACCGGUGGCGAAGGCGGGUCUCUGGGCCGAUACUGACGCUGAGGAGCGAAAGCAUGGGUAGCGAACAGG